CCUACGUGGGGCAGCAGUGAGGAAUAUUGGUCAAUGGGCGCGAGCCUGAACCAGCCAAGUAGCGUGAAGGAUGACUGCCCUACGGGUUGUAAACUUCUUUUAUAAAGGAAUAAAGUGAGGCACGUGUGCCUUUUUGUAUGUACUUUAUGAAUAAGGAUCGGCUAACUCCGUGCCAGCAGCCGCGGUAAUACGGAGGAUCCGAGCGUUAUCCGGAUUUAUUGGGUUUAAAGGGAGCGUAGAUGGGUUGUUAAGUUAGUUGUGAAAGUUUGCGGCUCAACCGUAAAAUUGCAAUUGAUACUGGCAGUCUUGAGUACAGUUGAGGUAGGCGGAAUUCGUGGUGUAGCGGUGAAAUGCUUAGAUAUCACGAAGAACUCCGAUUGCGAAGGCAGCUUACUAAACUGCCACUGACAUUGAUGCUCGAAAGUGUGGGUAUCAAACAGGAUUAGAUACCCUAGUAGUC
rnacentral:rRNA from 1 species